ACGACUCUCGGCAACGGAUAUCUCGGCUCUCGCAUCGAUGAAGAACGUAGCGAAAUGCGAUACUUGGUGUGAAUUGCAGAAUCCCGUGAACCAUCGAGUCUUUGAACGCAAGUUGCGCCCGAAGCCGUUAGGCCAAGGGCACGUCUGCCUGGGCGUC
rnacentral:rRNA from 1 species